ACAUAUUUUGGUGGUCUCUAACCUAUGCAUCAUGUGGAUAUGAAAAUGGAUAGCUUUCAUUGUGUUAAUGUGCAAAAGUGAUAAAGUUGAGAAUCCACCUUAUUGAUUAUGAUAUAUACAUGUUAAAACUUUUAGUGCUUAGAUCAUAACAAAACAUGGUCACAUCAAAUUUUCAUUUUUGUGCUCACUUAGUGUAUAGGUUAAAGACUACUAAAACAUGUGAUUUUUGAAUUCUAAGCAUUUUAAAUGGUAUAGAUUAUGAUCAAUGAUGUGGAUCUUUGAUUUGGGUGCCUCAUUGUUGUUUUUGGAGUCAAGAGUCAGGAGGAGUAGAUAUCCUUUCCUCUUGCGAGAAGUGCACACACAUUUAUAUUUAUAGAUAUUACAAAAUUUGAUCAUAUUGUCAACAGUCAGGGUGGUGUAUGCAUUUGAAGUAAUUGACAUCUGCCAAAUUUUCAAAUUCCCCAAGCAGCAACAGUACUUUCCAAUGGAUAAUGUUAUAACUUAGGGUCUUUGAUUGCAAUGAUGAACAGUCAAACCAAAAUUUUUUAGCUUGGCUCUUGGAAUUUGGAAAAGGACACUGAACUUAGAGAUUUCUGCUUGAUGUGUAGAAUUCAAUAUGAAAUAAAAUUGUUAGUAGAAGCCCUAAUGUUUCAAAGCAUCAUAUUGACCCAAGAGGAUCACAGACCUGUUGUGGACCAAUGCCACUACUUCUGAUAGGUCUGAAUGGGGUAUGGGAGAAAGAUCUGUCACAACUCACAUCUAUGAUUUUAAUUUCGAAAAAGAAACUUUGGGAAGCCAUAACUUUCCAAUUCUGGAGGAAUUAGGUAAUGUGCUAAAUAAUAAAUUUGAUUUCAAUGUAAAAUUAUUACUAUUUUAGAAAACUUUUUACCUCUUGUAAGUAGAAGAGGAAUCUGACCUAGACUUUGAAAGGGUGGAACUUACUAGUAUAAAUAGAGGCCUUGUACCAUAGUUUUGAACACAUUUUGGAAGAAAGUAUAAAGGGGUACUACCCUGCUUUAUGCCUUUUUAACUAGAGGAAUUUGACCCAAGUUUGGGGACUUGAAUUUCACUAGUAUAAAUAGAGGAUCUGUGUAAUAGUAGGGCAUAGAACCUUGCUUUUGAAAUUUCUUUAUAUACUCUAUUAUUUUAUUCUGAGAGAUUCAAGUUGAGUGGGAUGAUGAAUUUUUUCUUCUCUCACUUUGGAUCAUGAAGUGAAUUAUCGAGCAGUCAACUAGAAAUCAAAGGACCUGAAAUGAAUAUUGACUGAAGGAUGCAAUCAUUCAUUGGAAAGGAUUCACGUUUAGAUCAUAAUAAAUGCAGGCCAUAAUAAUUGUUGUUAGUGUUAUAUGAUGUUCUUUAAUGAUAUAAGCUGUUGAAAUUAAUGGUUUAUGAUGAACAAGUUCUUUUGGGAGUAAACACAUACACACGUAUAUUAUUAAGGUAACAUACAUAUAUUGUAGGAACCAUUGUGCCAGUUUUAUUGAAAUUCGCAUGUUUGUCUUCGAGAAAAUAUAUUGCUUGGGCUCAAUUUUGUGGUGACACAAAAAAGAGAAACUCAUGGCAGCACAAGAUCAUCAUAAUUCAUCUUUUAAGUCUUUGCAAAGUAAAAUUGAGAGGAA
rnacentral:lncRNA from 1 species